rnacentral:rRNA from 1 species
CGGGAGUAACACCUGGAAACAGAUGCUAAUACCGGAUAACAACAGAUGAUGCCUAUCAACUGUUUAAAAGAUGGUUCUGCUAUCACUCUUGGAUGGACCUGCGGUGCAUUAGCUAGUUGGUAGGGUAACGGCCUACCAAGGCGAUGAUGCAUAGCCGAGUUGAGAGACUGAUCGGCCACAUUGGGACUGAGACACGGCCCAAACUCCUACGGGAGGCAGCAGCA